UUAGCUCUGUUUGUCCCUAGCCGAGCUUGCAGCACAGAAUCGACAGGAUGCGUGGGCGGCAAGACGAAAAAGCCGCGUCCGAGGUUGUGGACGCUUCCAGACACAAGACUGAUUUAUGCAGCAGGCGCUCCUUGGCUGCAUCUGCAAUGCUAGCUCAAGGCGAGAAUGCUUUGGGCACGUUGCCAUCUGCGUCCACAGUCAUCCUGGCACAACUGCCAUGUGGUGCAGCAAUGGCGCCUGCUGAACCACUCCGUUCAUUUCAAAAGGUGCAGGGCUGGUUCAUUUUGCUGCACCUACUCCGCUGUCGGUGCCGACUUGGUGCAGGCGUACAGGUGCGACGCAGCAGCGCAGCAGACAGUCCAGCACAUGGGCGCAAGCGCCAUUAAAAGCCCGCUUACGCACGUCUGAUGUGUGUACAGAUGUGGUUUGUAGUUAGGCCCACAAGCUGAUAAUACUUGUAGUUCACGAUCUUUCAAAUGUACGCACUCUGUGCACAUUAAUCAGGCAUAACAUAACGCCUGCACCGCAUCUGCACCUUGGCAUUCGUUUCGAGUGUUGCGCUGUGCCUGCACCGCAGAAACAAGCUGCACAAUUUCUGAACUUCUCGUGAACCGCCGUUAACUGGUUGACAGUUGUGCAGGUGAAUUGAAAAGCCCUUUUAAGUGCUUCCACAUGAAGUUCUUAUUUGCCCUUACGUUGCUUAGUGGCCUGAUGGCUGCUUCAGGUAUUGUACAAAAUGUUCGAUUCAACACUGAAAGAAAAUUCAAGGAUAUGAAUGCUCAUGAAGGCCAAAAUUCAGUGACAUACAAAUGCAUUAAUUCUGCACAUAAACUAAAAAUUGUCAAAUUUCCUUCUUCCUAGCUGCAUUCAGUUAAGCAUGCUACUAAGUUGGAAUUGCUGGAAAAGUGUAAAAAAAGGCAAUUUUCUUUUAUAGUGUAGAGUGUCGACUGAUAACUGACCUUACGGCCAGAAAUGAUGUGCAUACCUUGAGGAGGAUGCUUUAGUUCAGUGCCAACUCUAAUCUCUUUAUUCAAAUACAUGUAAAAUGCAGAAAUGCUUUUGAGACAACUACUGGAAUAAUUGCAAUGAAAUUUGUUGCAUUUGAGAGAAAAAGAUAAAAUUUAGUCAUUCUAGGCUGCAUAAUUUUGAUUUAGGACCUUGAAUAUUUAGGAAAAAUUGCUGAGAGUCAGUAAACUUAAAAAAUAUAAGCACGAAGUUUACAAUUUCAUAGCUUUUGUAUCAAGUUGUAAACUUCAUACGAAAGUCUUUUUAAUUUCACAAUUUUCAAAAUUUCCUGCCACAAAAAAUUGCCCCCUAGAACAGUCGCUACAUUUCAGCUUUUUUUUUUUUUACAUGUAACCAACCUCAUCGAAUUCCGUUGCUGGCUUCAGAGAAAAACUAUUUCUCUUUUCCCAUGUAUUCAGAUAGGAGCUCCAGAGAUAAAACUGCCUCCAAGUCAGGUGGAAAAGGAAAGUAUCAGCAACGUUCUCACACCUACACUGUCCUUAUUGGUAUGUAGUGUGACUAAAUUCUGCUUCUGCAUUAGUUGUGUUGAUAGCAUGCUUGUUCCAAAUUCUUAUUUGUUCCUUUUGCAAAUUUUCAUUUUGUUCACAGAACUUUCCAAAAGGGGAACGUAUCCAAUAAAAUAAAGCACUAAUUUACUUUCA